rnacentral:rRNA from 1 species
AUUGAACGCUGGCGGCAGGCUUAACACAUGCAAGUCAAGCGGAGACUUCGGUCUUAGCGGCGAACGGGUGAGGAAUGCCUGGGAAUCUGCCUGGUAGUGGGGGAUAACGUUCCGAAAGGAACGCUAAUACCGCAUACGUCCUACGGGAGAAAGCAGGGGACCUUCGGGCCUUGCGCUAUCAGAUGAGCCCAGGUCGGAUUAGCUAGUAGGUGAGGUAAAGGCUCACCUAGGCGACGAUCCGUAGCUGGUCUGAGAGGAUGAUCAGCCACACUGGAACUGAGACACGGUCCAGACUCCUACGGGAGGCAGCAGUGGGGAAUAUUGGACAAUGGGCGAAAGCCUGAUCCAGCCAUGCCGCGUGUGUGAAGAAGGCC